rnacentral:rRNA from 1 species
GACGAACGCUGGCGGCGUGCUUAACACAUGCAAGUCGAACGGAAAGGCCCUGCUUUUGUGGGGUGCUCGAGUGGCGAACGGGUGAGUAACACGUGAGUAACCUGCCCUUGACUUUGGGAUAACUUCAGGCAACUGGGGCUAAUACCGGAUAGGAGCUCCUGCUGCAUGGUGGGGGUUGGAAAGUUUCGGCGGUUGGGGAUGGACUCGCGGCUUAUCAGCUUGUUGGUGGGGUAGUGGCUUACCAAGGCUUUGACGGGUAGCCGGCCUGAGCGGGUGACCGGCCACAUUGGGAUUGGGAUACGGCCCAGACUCCUCCGGGAGGCAGCAGUGGGGAAUAUUGCACAAUGGGCGGAAGCCUGAUGCAGCAACGCCGCGUGCGGGAUGACGGCCUUCGGUUUGUAAACCGCUUUCGCCUGUGACGAAGCGUGAGUGACGGUAAUGGGUAAAGAAGCACCGGCUAACUACGUG